rnacentral:tRNA from 1 species
GGGUUUUUGGGUCUCUGGCCUGCGACAACAAGCCACGCACUAAGCGGUCUUGAAAACCGUCGUGGCAGCGAUGUCACCGUGGGUUCAAAUCCCACCGCCUCCG